GGGAAGAGCCCAGCGCUGAAUCCCCCGGGCCUCGCCCGGCGGGAAAUGUAGCGUUAAGGAGGGUCCGCUAACCCGGUCACGGACAGCUCGCUCAAGUCCAACUUGAACGGGGCACCAAAGAGGGUGAUAGUCCCGUAGAGCAGACGUCCUAGCCGGGUGGGCCUCUCCUCAGAGUCGGUUUGCUUGAGAGUGCAGACCCAAGUGGGUGGUAAACUCCAUCUAAGGCUAAAUAUGACCACGAGACCGAUAGCACACAAGUACCGUGAGGGAAAGGUGAAAAGAACUUUGAAGAGAGAGUUCAAGAGUACGUGAAACCGAACUGGUGUAAACGAACGGAACGGAGAAGUCCGGAAAGGCGAGAUUCAAGCCUGCAACCGGGGAGGCCUGGGAGAUGCGCCAGACUUUGCGGCCCUUGCGUGUCCUUCGGGGCGACGUGGAGGUAACCGUAUAUGCGGUGUCACCCUUGCAUACACAUCCCUGGGAGCGACUGCACUUCUCGCCUUAGUAGGACGUCCCGACCCGUUGGGCGGCCCGGCUCAAGGCCCCGCUAGGCAGUCCCGUAUGGCCUGUAGUGCUUGCAUUGCAGUUGCCUGCGGUGACAGCGGGUGUUCCCUGGCUGGGACCCGACGGUAUCAAAGCUAUGGAUUACGCCGGCUCAAAGAAGCCGCCUCCAGAGUGUGUUUUGCUACACUUGUGGCUGGGGCAGUGCGUUAUAAAAUCCUGGUCCGGGGCGCAACUGCUCUCUGUCACCGUUCGACCCGUCUUGAAACACGGACCAAGGAGUCUAACAUGUGCGCGAGUCAUUGGGCUCGCACGAAACCUAAAGGCGAAAUGAAAGUGAAGGAGCUGUGCCGUAAGGCCAGUCUCUGAGCGGUGAUGGGGCGUCAGCAAUGAUGCCCCCGCAACCGCGGGGUGUCGGAUUCUCCCUCCUUCACGGGUUGGAGACCGGCGCACCUAGAGCGCACACGUUGGGACCCGAAAGAUGGUGAACUAUGCCUGGACAGGUCGAAGCCAGGGGAAACCCUGGUGGAGGACCGCAGCGAUUCUGACGUGCAAAUCGAUCGUCGGAUCCGGGUAUAGGGGCGAAAGACUAAUCGAACCCUCUAGUAGCUGGUUUCUGCCGAAGUUUCCCUCAGGAUAGCUGGCACUCGGAAACUUGAAAGAGACUCUGUCUCAUCCGGUAAAGCGAAUGAUUAGAGGCCUUGGGGUCGAAACGACCUCAACCUAUUCUCAAACUUUAAAUGGGUGAGACCCCUGGCCUGCUUAAAAUUGAGGCUAUGGGCACUGAUGAUGCCUUGGAAGUGAGUUGCCAAGUGGGCCAUUUUUGGUAAGCAGAACUGGCGCUGUGGGAUGAACCAAACGCAGCGUUAAAGCGCCUAAAUGGAAGCUUAUGGGAUACCAGAAAAGGCGUUGGUUGCUUAAGACAGCAGGACGGUGGCCAUGGAAGUCGGAAUCCGCUAAGGAGUGUGUAACAACUCACCUGCCGAAGCAACUAGCCCUGAAAAUGGAUGGCGCUGAAGCUUCCUGCUUAUACGCUGCCGCCGGUGGCAUGAGGGGGGUCGCUUGCGAUCCUCAUGAAGCCCCGGUGAGUAGGCAGACGUGCCGGUGUGCGCAGAAGCGUCUGGGCGUAAGCCCGCGUGGAGCCGCCGGUAGUGCAGAUCUUGGUGGUAGUAGCAAAUAUACCAGAGAGACCCUGGUAGACUGAUGUGGAGAAGGGUUUCGUGUGAACAGCCGUUGCACACGAGUCAGCCGAUCCUAAGCCCUAGGGGAAACCCAAAGUUGAUGCGCGCGCCAUUUUAUUGAAAGCAACCAUUUCAACUAAAAAUGCAGGCCGCCAUCGGGCGAAAGGGAAUCUGGUUCCUAUUCCAGAGCACCGCACCAGAACCGUUCCUUUCGGGUCUUCGUACUCGUCAGGGUAACCUGAAAUGCCCCGGAGACGCCAUCGGGAGCCCCCUGGAGAGUUAUCUUUUCUGUAUGAGCGAGCGUACUCCCUGGAAGCUUCUAGCAAGGAGAUAGGGAGCGGCUCGCGAAGAGCACCGCACUUGCGGCGGUGUAGGGGGCUGCCUCUUGGACCGUGAAAAUCCGGGUGAGGGCCACGUGGAACUCUGGUCGGUCUCGUACCCAUUCCGCAGC
rnacentral:rRNA from 1 species